rnacentral:tRNA from 1 species
GGCGGCGUAGCUCAGCUGGUUAGAGCACCGGAAUCAUAAUCCGGGUGUCCGGGGUUCGAGUCCCUGCGCCGCUA